GUGGGGAAUCUUGCGCAAUGGGCGAAAGCCUGACGCAGCAACGCCGUGUGAGGGAUGAAGGCCUUCGGGUUGUAAACCUCUGUUGAAGGGAAAGAAACUUUUUAGAGCUAAUAUCUCUAGAAAUUGACGGUACCCUUAGAGGAAGCACCGGCUAACCACGUGCCAGCAGCCGCGGUAAUACGUGGGGUGCAAGCGUUGUUCGGAAUUACUGGGCGUAAAGCGCGUGUAGGUGGCUAUGCAAGUCGGAUGUGAAAGCCCUUGGCUUAACCAAGGAAGUGCGUCCGAAACUACUUAGCUUGAGUGCGGGAGAGGAGGGUGGAAUUCCCAGUGUAGAGGUGAAAUUCGUAGAUAUUGGGAGGAACACCGGAGACGAAAGUGACUCUCUAGACCGCAACUGACACUAAGACGCGAAAGCGUGGGUAGCAAACAGGAUUAGAAACCCCUGUAGUCC
rnacentral:rRNA from 1 species